UUUUAAAAAUUUGAGUGCUACAGAGUGAGUUUCAAAAUGAGUUCUUUCAAAUACUUGAUUGCGUUCUCUCUGGUGGUUGCGUUUGCCAUUUCCUAUGACCUUUUUUGUGAGAUGAAAAUUAACGCUCAAUCUCAGACGUGUUUUGACUAUUGUAAAGAGUCAAAAAUUGGUACAAGAGUAAGCGCAUGGUACCAGAGUAUGCAAUGCAACACACGGUGUUUGGAAAUGGCUUUCAGGGGUGGUAGUUGGCUAGUUGCAUUCAAUACCAUGAACUUCUUCACAAACCUUCUAUUGAUUAUUCUCGUCGUUGUAAACAUUAUGUAUAAAUAUUAUUCUUUUAGUGCUAGGAUCAUAUAAAUAUAUAGUUUUAUUGUUUUUUAA